UACGUAGGGUGCGAGCGUUAAUCGGAAUUACUGGGCGUAAAGCGUGCGCAGGCGGUUUUGUAAGCCAGAUGUGAAAUCCCCGGGCUUAACCUGGGAAUGGCAUUUGGGACUGCAAGGCUGGAGUUUGGCAGAGGAGACUGGAAUUCCUGGUGUAGCAGUGAAAUGCGUAGAGAUGUGGAGGAACACCGAUGGCGAAGGCAGCCCCCUGGGCUAACACUGACGCUCAGGCACGAAAGCGUGGGGAGCAAACAGG
rnacentral:rRNA from 1 species